rnacentral:rRNA from 1 species
UGCAGUCGAGCGGUAACAGAUCUAGCUUGCUAGAUGCUGACGAGCGGCGGACGGGUGAGUAAUGCAUAGGAAACUGCCCAGUAGUGGGGGAUAGCCCGGGGAAACCCGGAUUAAUACCGCGUACGCCCUUCGGGGGAAAGCAGGGGAUCUUCGGACCUUGCGCUAUUGGAUGUGCCUAUGUCGGAUUAGCUAGUUGGUGGGGUAAAGGCCUACCAAGGCGACAAUCCGUAGCUGGUCUGAGAGGAUGAUCAGCCACAUCGGGGACUGAGACACGGCCCGAACUCCUACGGGAGGCAGCAGUGGGGAAUAUUGGACAAUGGGGGCAACCCUGAUCCCAGCCAUGCCGCGUGUGUGAAGAAGGCUUUCGGGUUGUAAAGCACUUUCAGUGAGGAGGAAAACUCUGCGACUAAUACUCGUAGGGCUUGACGUUACUCACAGAAGAAGCACCGGCUAACUCCGUGCCAGCAGCCGCGGUAAUACGGAGGGUGCAAGCGUUAAUCGGAAUUACUGGGCGUAAAGCGCGCGUAGGUGGUUUGAUAAGCGAGAUGUGAAAGCCCCGGGCUUAACCUGGGAACGGCAUUUCGAACUGUCAGGCUAGAGUAUGGUAGAGGGGUAGUGGAAUUUCCUGUGUAGCGGUGAAAUGCGUAGAUAUAGGAAGGAACACCAGUGGCGAAGGCGGCUACCUGGACCAAUACUGACACUGAGGUGCGAAAGCGUGGGGAGCAAACAGGAUUAGAUACCCUGGUAGUCCACGCCGUAAACGAUGUCUACUAGCCGUUGGGACUCUUGAAGUCUUAGUGGCGCAGCUAACGCACUAAGUAGACCGCCUGGGGAGUACGGCCGCAAGGUUAAAACUCAAAUGAAUUGACGGGGGCCCGCACAAGCGGUGGAGCAUGUGGUUUAAUUCGACGCAACGCGAAGAACCUUACCUGGCCUUGACAUGCAGAGAACUUUCCAGAGAUGGAUUGGUGCCUUCGGGAACUCUGACACAGGUGCUGCAUGGCCGUCGUCAGCUCGUGUCGUGAGAUGUUGGGUUAAGUCCCGUAACGAGCGCAACCCCUAUCCCUAGUUGCUAGCAGUUCGGCUGAGAACUCUAGGGAGACUGCCGGUGACAAACCGGAGGAAGGUGGGGAUGACGUCAGGUCAUCAUGGCCCUUACGGCCAGGGCUACACACGUGCUACAAUGGUGCGCACAGAGGGCUGCAAACCCGCGAGGGGGAGCCAAUCUCACAAAACGCAUCGUAGUCCGGAUCGCAGUCUGCAACUCGACUGCGUGA